CCUACGGGUGGCAGCAGUCGGGAAUAUUGCUCAAUGGGGGAAACCCUGAAGCAGCAACGCCGCGUGGAGGAUGAAGGUUUUCGGAUUGUACACUACUUUUGUUAGAGAAGAUAAUGACGGUAUCUAACGAAUAAGCACCGGCUAACUCCGUGCCCGCAGCCGCAGUAAUACGGAGGUUGCAAGCGUUACUCGGGAUCACUGGGCGUAAAGAGCGCGUAGGCGGGAUAGCAAGUCAGAUGUGAAAUCCUAUGGCUUAACCAUAGAACUGCAUUUGAAACUGUUAUUCUAGAGUAUGGGAGAGGUAGGUGGAAGUCUUGGUGGAGGGGUAAAAUCCGUAGAGAUCAAGAGGAAUACGCAUAGCGAAGGCGACCUGCUAGAACAUAACUGACGCUGAUGCGCGAAAGCGUGGGGAGCAAACAGGAUUAGAUACCCGGGUAGUC
rnacentral:rRNA from 1 species